GAUGAACGCUGGCGGCGUGCCUUAUACAUGCAAGUCGAGUGGGUUUAGACCCACGGCUAACGGGUGAGUAACACGUAGGUCCUUUCCUUGUCACAGGCAUAACCCUCCGAAAGGAGGGCUAAUACCUGAUGUGAUCGCACGAUUAAAGGGUAUCCGCAAGGAUUACCUGACAAGAAGAGGCCUGCGGGCUAUCAGCUAGUUGGCGGGGUGAAUGCCCACCAAGGCUAUGACGGGUAGCUGGUCUUAUGGGGAUGAACAGGCACAUGGGCACUGAGACACGGGGCCGAGUGCUACGGGAGGCAAUAGUAGGGAAUUUUGAGCAAUGGGGGCAAGUCUGGCGCAGCGGCCCCGCGGGCGGGAAACAGGCCUUGCGGUCGUAAAACGCUUUUAUCAGGGACGGAGUUUGAAAGUACCUUAAGAAUAAGAGGUUGCUAACUCUGUG
rnacentral:rRNA from 1 species